rnacentral:rRNA from 1 species
CAUUAUACCGUGAAACUGCGAAUGGCUCAUUAAAUCAGUUAUCGUUUAUUUGAUAGUACCUUACUACUUGGAUAACCGUGGUAAUUCUAGAGCUAAUACAUGCUAAAAACCCCAACUUCGGGAGGGGUGUAUUUAUUAGAUAAAAAACCAAUGCCCUUCGGGGCUCUUUGGUGAUUCAUGAUAACUUAACGGAUCGCAUGGCCUUGCGCCGGCGACGGUUCAUUCAAAUUUCUGCCCUAUCAACUUUCGAUGGUAAGGUAUUGGCUUACCAUGGUUUCAACGGGUAACGGGGAAUUAGGGUUCGAUUCCGGAGAGGGAGCCUGAGAAACGGCUACCACAUCCAAGGAAGGCAGCAGGCGCGCAAAUUACCCAAUCCCGACACGGGGAGGUAGUGACAAUAAAUACUGAUACAGGGCUCUUUUGGGUCUUGUAAUUGGAAUGAGUACAAUUUAAACCCCUUAACGAGGAACAAUUGGAGGGCAAGUCUGGUGCCAGCAGCCGCGGUAAUUCCAGCUCCAAUAGCGUAUAUUAAAGUUGUUGCAGUUAAAAAGCUCGUAGUUGAAACUUGGGCCUGGCUGUCUGGUCCGCCUCACCGCGUGUACUGGUUCGGCCGGGCCUUUCCUUCUGGAGAGCCUCAUGCCCUUCACUGGGUGUGUUGGGGAACCAGGACUUUUACUUUGAAAAAAUUAGAGUGUUCAAAGCAGGCCUUUGCUCGAAUACGUUAGCAUGGAAUAAUAGAAUAGGACGUGCGAUCCUAUUUUGUUGGUUUCUAGGACCGCCGUAAUGAUUAAUAGGGAUAGUCGGGGGCAUCAGUAUUCAAUUGUCAGAGGUGAAAUUCUUGGAUUUAUUGAAGACUAACUACUGCGAAAGCAUUUGCCAAAGGAUG